rnacentral:rRNA from 1 species
UACGUAGGGGGCAAGCGUUGUCCGGAAUUAUUGGGCGUAAAGAGCGUGUAGGCGGCCAGAUAAGUCCGCUGUGAAAUCUCGAGGCUCAACUUCGAGCUGUCGGUGGAAACUAUCUGGCUAGAGUCCGGAAGAGGAGAAUGGAAUUCCUGGUGUAGCGGUGAAAUGCGCAGAUAUCAGGAAGAACACCCGUGGCGAAGGCGGCUCACUGGUCCGGUACUGACGCUGAGGUGCGAAAGCGUGGGGAGCAAACAGG